rnacentral:rRNA from 1 species
AUCUACAGCCAUGCCACCCUGAAUAUGCCCAAUCUUGUCUGAUCUCAGAAGCUAAGCAGGGUCGGGCCUGGUUAGUAGUUAGAUAGGAGACCACCUUGGAAUACCAAGUGCUGUAGGCA